rnacentral:rRNA from 1 species
CCUACGGGAGGCAGCAGUGGGGAAUAUUGGACAAUGGGGGGAACCCUGAUCCAGCCAUGCCGCGUGUGUGAAGAAGGCCCUCGGGUUGUAAAGCACUUUCAGUGAGGAAGAACGCCUGGUGGUUAAUACCCAUCAGGAAAGACAUCACUCACAGAAGAAGCACCGGCUAACUCCGUGCCAGCAGCCGCGGUAAUACGGAGGGUGCGAGCGUUAAUCGGAAUUACUGGGCGUAAAGCGCGCGUAGGUGGCUUGAUAAGCCGGUUGUGAAAGCCCCGGGCUCAACCUGGGAACGGCAUCCGGAACUGUCAAGCUAGAGUGCGGGAGAGGAAGGUAGAAUUCCCGGUGUAGCGGUGAAAUGCGUAGAGAUCGGGAGGAAUACCAGUGGCGAAGGCGGCCUUCUGGACUGACACUGACACUGAGGUGCGAAAGCGUGGGUAGCAAACAGGAUUAGAUACCCCGGUAGUC